ACCUGGAGAUAGCUCAGUCUGUAGAGCAUGAGACUCUUUAUCUCAGGGUUGUGGGUUUGAGCCCCAUGUUGGGCA
rnacentral:tRNA from 1 species